UGCAUUCACUACUGUAAGUCGCUCUGGAUAAGAGCGUCUGCUAAAUGAACAAAA
rfam:Salmo salar isolate Sally breed double haploid chromosome ssa10, whole genome shotgun sequence.